UACGUAGGGUGCGAGCGUUGCCCGGAUUUAUUGGGCGUAAAGGGCGCGUAGGCGGCUCGGCACGUCCGUUGUGAAAUCGCCCGGCUCAACUGGGCGGGGUCAGCGGAUACGGUCGAGCUUGAGCAAGCUAGGGGGCAAUGGAAUUCCCGGUGUAGUGGUGGAAAUGCGUAGAGAUCGGGAGGAACACCAGUGGCGAAGGCG
rnacentral:rRNA from 1 species